rnacentral:rRNA from 1 species
CCCUUAGAUGUCCUGGGCCGCACGCGCGCUACACUGAUGCGUUCAACGAGUUCUACCUUGGCCGAGAGGCCUGGGCAAUCUUUUGAACCUGCAUCGUGAUAGGGAUAGAUUAUUGCAAUUAUUAAUCUUGAACGAGGAAUUCCUAGUAAACGCAGAUCAUCAAUCUGCAUUGAUUACGUCCCUGCCCUUUGUACACACCGCCCGUCGCACCUACCGAUUGAAUGGUCCGGUGAAGCCUCGGGAUUGUGGCGAGUUCCCUUUAUUGGGAGUUUGUCGCGAGAACUUGUCUAAACCUUAUCAUUUAGAGGAAGGUGAAGUCGUAACA